rnacentral:miRNA from 12 species
GAUCUAAAGCCUGUUUAAUUCA